rnacentral:rRNA from 1 species
UACAGAGGUCCCGCGCGUUGUUCGGAUUCACUGGGCGUAAAGGGUGCGUAGGUGGCAUGUUAAGUUUGAUGUGAAAGCUCAGGGCUUAACCCUGAAAUGGCAUUGAAUACUAGCGUGCUGGAGGUUUGGAGGGGGGACUGGAAUUCUCGGUGUAGCAGUGAAAUGCGUAGAUAUCGAGGGGAACACCAGUGGCGAAGGCGAGUCCCUGGACAACACCUGACACUGAGGCACGAAAGCCGGGGGAGCAAACAGG